UUAUAUGAGAGUUUGAUCCUGGCUCAGGACGAACGCUGGCGGCAUGCCUAAUACAUGCAAGUCGAACGCACGAAGUUGAAAAGCUUGCUUUUCGACCAAGUGAGUGGCGGACGGGUGAGUAACACGUGGGUAACCUGCCCAUAAGAGGGGGAUAACAUYCGGAAACGGAUGCUAAUACCGCAUAUUUCAAAUGACCGCAUGGUCGCUUGAUGAAAGGUGGCUUCGGCURCCGCUUAURGAUGGACCCGCGGUGCAUUAGUUAGUUGGUGAGGUAAUGGCUCACCAAGACAAUGAUGCAUAGCCGACCUGAGAGGGUGAUCGGCCACACUGGGACUGAGACACGGCCCAGACUCCUACGGGAGGCAGCAGUAGGGAAUCUUCCGCAAUGGACGAAAGUCUGACGGAGCAAUGCCGCGUGAGUGAAGAAGGUUUUCGGAUCGUAAAACUCUGUUGUUAGAGAAGAACAAGGAUGAGAGUA
rnacentral:rRNA from 1 species